GUAGUCUCGCACAGAUGCAUAUCAAUAAGCGGAGGAAAAGAAACUAACAAGGAUUCCCCUAGUAACGGCGAGUGAAGCGGGAAGAGCUCAAAUUUGAAAUCUUAAAGGGUUUCCCUUUACGAAUUGUAGUUUAAAGAAGUGUUUUCUGUUGAGGUUUUGGUAAAAGUUCUUUGGAAUAGGACAUCAUAGAGGGUGAGAAUCCCGUAUUUGACCUUUACUUUCAACUUUGUGAUACACUUUCAAAGAGUCGGAUUGUUUGGGAAUGCAGUCCAAAAUGGGUGGUAAAUUUCAUCUAAAGCUAAAUAUUGGCGAGAGACCGAUAGCGAACAAGUACCGUGAGGGAAAGAUGAAAAGAACUUUGAAAAGAGAGUUAAACAGUACGUGAAAUUGUCAAAAGGGAAGCGUUUGACACCAGUGUUGUUUUUCUGAAAAUCAAUUAAAGAACUGUUUAUGCUAAGCUGUUUAGACUUUAUCAGCUAAUCUGUUUAGUUUUGAGCUUUUCUUUAAUGCACUUUUCAGUUAACAAGUCAACAUCAAUUUCUUUUGCUGUAAAAAAGCUUGAGGAAGGUGGCUUGAGAUUCGUCUUAAGUGUUUAUAGCCUCUUGUCUAUGCAGUCGGAGAGAUUGAGGUCUGCAGCGUAGAUCCUUCGGGGCUAAAUGCAUUUGUGCUAAGUUAUAGCAUUUUAUAGACAACUUGUUGACUAUGAUUUGUCUUGUAGCUUACUCGCUUAUGUUAUUUUACCUACGCUUAGGAUGUUGAUCUGUAGUGCGUGCGC
rnacentral:rRNA from 1 species